GCAACUUAACACCUCUUGAGUAGAAAAUUUGAGACUCUUCUAAAUGCUGGAAACAAUAGAUGUUUGGUUUUUAGUAAAAAGAGAAAAAAGAAAAAAAAAACUGGGUGGGGCACGGGAGAAGAAUUCAGUGCCAAAUAACCUUCAGCAAUGCUUAGUGGUAAUUAGAGCAGACAGACAUUGUAUUAAAGGUAGUGGAAGAAUAUUUUCUCCUCUAUAUUAUUAAAAAUCUGUAAGAUUGCUUCUUUCAAAACAAAAUUAAAAUUAAAAUCCAUGUUUAUCAUCAUUUUUCUCAGGAGAAAAAGUUGUUCUCUUCUACCAAAUUUUCCUGCCAUCAAAUGCUCAUUGAGUGACAAUAGAGAAAGCACCAUCAUCCUGAAGCAUCAGAUUGGGAGAAAAGUCCGCUCUCGAGAGCAUCAACUAUGUAGAAAGGGGACCAACCUAUGUUAUAUCUGCCUUAGUGCAUGGGCUGCUGGUCAAUGCUAACAGCUGGCUCUCAGGGAAAAAAGAAAAACCAUCUGUGGCAUCUGCCAAUUUCUGUGGUGUAAAUACUCUGAGCUCUGCCAAUUUCAAGCCAUCCAUCUGACAUUGCUGAACCCAAAGUUGGCAAGGGAUGUGCACAAUUGCCUUUUGCAAGCAAGCUUCUGCAAAAGACUUGAGACAGCUCACAAUGAAGUACUCUGUAUUAGGCAGGGUAAUAUUGAUUGCAAGUGACAGAAACCCAAUCAGAAACUCACUGGAGUCAUGAGGAACACUUAUUGGCUCAGAGUAAAGGCAAAAUAGACCUUCAGAGAAAUAAAGUCUGGGAAAUUGACUAGAUCCUCACUGAAAGAACUACUAAAGGAUGUACUUAUGGAAGAAGAAAAUUACAAAGUGAAAGAACUGGGAUGCAAGAAGUAAUGGUGAGCAUGGAAUUUGGCAAAGAUUCAAGUAAAACAAAGCAAGGACUGAGUAUAUAAAAUCAUAAUCAUAACAAAUUUUGACUAUUAUAUGUAACAGCCAAUCUCUUAACUGGGUCAUAAUAAGAAAGUGAAAGGCAGAAAAAAUGACAAAAAGAAUAAUUAGAAUGUUAAUAAGAAGAGUAACAAGAUUUUGAAAAAUUUGUGCUGGUUGAUAUCAACUUUUGGCACUUUUCUCUUUUUCUAUACUGUUAACAUAAUUAAUGAAAAAAUAAUAAUUCAUACUUCAAAAAAUUUAAGAAGUUGCACAUAUUUUCAUUUGAAAUAGUAUAAGCAUUUUACAAAUGUUAUUUUAAGCUUUAAAAAGUGAGUAAAAUUAAUAACCAAAUGGUGGAAGCAACCCAAGUAUCCAUCAAUAGAUGAAUGAAUAAACGAAAGGUAGUAUGUUUAUACAAUGGAAUAUUAU
rnacentral:lncRNA from 1 species